UACGUAGGGGGCAAGCGUUGUCCGGAAUCAUUGGGCGUAAAGCGCGCGUAGGCGGCCAUGCAAGUCCGUUGUGAAAGCCCGGGGCUCAACUCCGGGAGGCGGAUGGAUACUGCAUGGCUCGAGUCCGGAAGAGGCGAGUGGAAUUCCUGGUGUAGCGGUGAAAUGCGCAGAUAUCAGGAGGAACACCGGUGGCGAAGGCGGGUCUCUGGGCCGAUACUGACGCUGAGGAGCGAAAGCGUGGGGAGCGAUCAGG
rnacentral:rRNA from 1 species